UUCUUUUUGGUUGUUUAAAAAGUAUAGCCUGCCCACUGAUAUUUAAAGGGCUGCAGGAUUUAACUGUGCAAAGGUAGCAUAAUAAUUAGUCUUUUAAUUAAGGAAUAGAAUGAAUGGUUUAAUAAGACUUAGUUGUUAUUGUUUUAUAUUAUUGAAAUUGAAUUUUAAGUGAAAAUGCUUAAUAAUUCCUAAGAGACGAUAAGACCCUAUAGAUCUUAAUUUUUAUUAGACGUUUAAAGUUAGGUAGGGGUAAAUUAAAAUAUAAUUUUUACUGGGGUGGUAGUAGAAACUAAUAAACUUCUUUAGUCUUAUUAACUUAUGUUAAGAAUAAAAAGAUACCUUAGGGAUAACAGCGUUAUUAAAUUUAAGAGAUCUUAUCAAUAAUUUAGUUUGCGACCUCGAUGUUGAAUUAGGAAUUUAGUUUUUAGCAGUAUAAAAAUAAAAUAGUCUGUUCGACUAUUAAUAUCCUACA
rnacentral:rRNA from 1 species